ACUACGGGUGGCAGCAGUGAGGAAUAUUGGUCAAUGGGCGAGAGCCUGAACCAGCCAAGUCGCGUGAGGGAAGACGGUCCUAUGGAUUGUAAACCUCUUUUGCCGGGGAGCAAAAAGCGGUACGUGUACCGCAUCGAGAGUACCCGGAGAAAAAGCAUCGGCUAACUCCGUGCCAGCAGCCGCGGUAAUACGGAGGAUGCGAUCGUUAUCCGGAUUUAUUGGGGUUAAAGGGUGCGCAGGCGGCGAGUUAAGUCAGCGGUAAAAUUUCGGGGCUCAACCCCGACAAGCCGUUGAACAUGGCGUGCUAGAGUGGGCGAGAAGGAUGCGGAAUGCGUGGUGUAGCGGUGAAAUGCAUAGAUAUCACGCAGAACUCCGAUUGCGAAGGCAGCAUACCGGCGCCCAACUGACGCUCAGGCACGAAAGCGUGGGUAUCGAACAGGAUUAGAUACCCUAGUAGUC
rnacentral:rRNA from 1 species